UACGAAGGGGGCUAGCGUUGUUCGGAAUUACUGGGCGUAAAGCGCACGUAGGCGGAUUGGUCAGUUAGGGGUGAAAUCCCAGGGCUCAACCCUGGAACUGCCUUUAAUACUGCCAAUCUGGAGUUCGAGAGAGGUGAGUGGAAUUCCGAGUGUAGAGGUGAAAUUCGUAGAUAUUCGGAGGAACACCAGUGGCGAAGGCGGCUCACUGGCUCGACACUGACGCUGAGGUGCGAAAGCGUGGGGAGCAAACAGG
rnacentral:rRNA from 1 species